ACCCAGUUGACGAGUUCCAAAUAGGAUGAAACGCGUGUCCUGAAU
rnacentral:hammerhead_ribozyme from 1 species